rnacentral:tRNA from 1 species
GGGGCUGUGCCUGAAAAAGGGCCACUUUGAUAGGGUGACUUAUGGGGGUUAAAAUCCCCCCGACUCCU